rnacentral:rRNA from 1 species
GAAUCCAUAGGUUAAUGAGGCGAACCGGGGGAACUGAAACAUCUAAGUACCCCGAGGAAAAGAAAUCAACCGAGAUUCCCCCAGUAGCGGCGAGCGAACGGGGAGCAGCCCAGAGCCUGAAUCAGUGUGUGUGUUAGUGGAAGCGUCUGGAAAGGCGCGCGAUACAGGGUGACAGCCCCGUACACAAAAAUGCACAUGCUGUGAGCUCGAUGAGUAGGGCGGGACACGUGGUAUCCUGUCUGAAUAUGGGGGGACCAUCCUCCAAGGCUAAAUACUCCUGACUGACCGAUAGUGAACCAGUACCGUGAGGGAAAGGCGAAAAGAACCCCGGCGAGGGGAGUGAAAAAGAACCUGAAACCGUGUACGUACAAGCAGUGGGAGCACGCUUAGGCGUGUGACUGCGUACCUUUUGUAUAAUGGGUCAGCGACUUAUAUUCUGUAGCAAGGUUAACCGAAUAGGGGAGCCGAAGGGAAACCGAGUCUUAACUGGGCGUUAAGUUGCAGGGUAUAGACCCGAAACCCGGUGAUCUAGCCAUGGGCAGGUUGAAGGUUGGGUAACACUAACUGGAGGACCGAACCGACUAAUGUUGAAAAAUUAGCGGAUGACUUGUGGCUGGGGGUGAAAGGCCAAUCAAACCGGGAGAUAGCUGGUUCUCCCCGAAAGCUAUUUAGGUAGCGCCUCGUGAAUUCAUCUCCGGGGGUAGAGCACUGUUUCGGCAAGGGGGUCAUCCCGACUUACCAACCCGAUGCAAACUGCGAAUACCGGAGAAUGUUAUCACGGGAGACACACGGCGGGUGCUAACGUCCGUCGUGAAGAGGGAAACAACCCAGACCGCCAGCUAAGGUCCCAAAGUCAUGGUUAAGUGGGAAACGAUGUGGGAAGGCCCAGACAGCCAGGAUGUUGGCUUAGAAGCAGCCAUCAUUUAAAGAAAGCGUAAUAGCUCACUGGUCGAGUCGGCCUGCGCGGAAGAUGUAACGGGGCUAAACCAUGCACCGAAGCUGCGGCAGCGACGCUUAUGCGUUGUUGGGUAGGGGAGCGUUCUGUAAGCCUGUGAAGGUGUGCUGUGAGGCAUGCUGGAGGUAUCAGAAGUGCGAAUGCUGACAUAAGUAACGAUAAAGCGGGUGAAAAGCCCGCUCGCCGGAAGACCAAGGGUUCCUGUCCAACGUUAAUCGGGGCAGGGUGAGUCGACCCCUAAGGCGAGGCCGAAAGGCGUAGUCGAUGGGAAACAGGUUAAUAUUCCUGUACUUGGUGUUACUGCGAAGGGGGGACGGAGAAGGCUAUGUUGGCCGGGCGACGGUUGUCCCGGUUUAAGCGUGUAGGCUGGUUUUCCAGGCAAAUCCGGAAAAUCAAGGCUGAGGCGUGAUGACGAGGCACUACGGUGCUGAAGCAACAAAUGCCCUGCUUCCAGGAAAAGCCUCUAAGCAUCAGGUAACAUCAAAUCGUACCCCAAACCGACACAGGUGGUCAGGUAGAGAAUACCAAGGCGCUUGAGAGAACUCGGGUGAAGGAACUAGGCAAAAUGGUGCCGUAACUUCGGGAGAAGGCACGCUGAUAUGUAGGUGAAGCGACUUGCUCGUGGAGCUGAAAUCAGUCGAAGAUACCAGCUGGCUGCAACUGUUUAUUAAAAACACAGCACUGUGCAAACACGAAAGUGGACGUAUACGGUGUGACGCCUGCCCGGUGCCGGAAGGUUAAUUGAUGGGGUCAGCGCAAGCGAAGCUCUUGAUCGAAGCCCCGGUAAACGGCGGCCGUAACUAUAACGGUCCUAAGGUAGCGAAAUUCCUUGUCGGGUAAGUUCCGACCUGCACGAAUGGCGUAAUGAUGGCCAGGCUGUCUCCACCCGAGACUCAGUGAAAUUGAACUCGCUGUGAAGAUGCAGUGUACCCGCGGCAAGACGGAAAGACCCCGUGAACCUUUACUAUAGCUUGACACUGAACAUUGAGCCUUGAUGUGUAGGAUAGGUGGGAGGCUUUGAAGUGUGGACGCCAGUCUGCAUGGAGCCGACCUUGAAAUACCACCCUUUAAUGUUUGAUGUUCUAACGUUGACCCGUGAUCCGGGUUGCGGACAGUGUCUGGUGGGUAGUUUGACUGGGGCGGUCUCCUCCUAAAGAGUAACGGAGGAGCACGAAGGUUGGCUAAUCCUGGUCGGACAUCAGGAGGUUAGUGCAAUGGCAUAAGCCAGCUUGACUGCGAGCGUGACGGCGCGAGCAGGUGCGAAAGCAGGUCAUAGUGAUCCGGUGGUUCUGAAUGGAAGGGCCAUCGCUCAACGGAUAAAAGGUACUCCGGGGAUAACAGGCUGAUACCGCCCAAGAGUUCAUAUCGACGGCGGUGUUUGGCACCUCGAUGUCGGCUCAUCACAUCCUGGGGCUGAAGUAGGUCCCAAGGGUAUGGCUGUUCGCCAUUUAAAGUGGUACGCGAGCUGGGUUUAGAACGUCGUGAGACAGUUCGGUCCCUAUCUGCCGUGGGCGCUGGAGAACUGAGGGGGGCUGCUCCUAGUACGAGAGGACCGGAGUGGACGCAUCACUGGUGUUCGGGUUGUCAUGCCAAUGGCACUGCCCGGUAGCUAAAUGCGGAAGAGAUAAGUGCUGAAAGCAUCUAAGCACGAAACUUGCCCCGAGAUGAGUUCUCCCUGACUCCUUGAGAGUCCUGAAGGAACGUUGAAGACGACGACGUUGAUAGGCCGGGUGUGUAAGCGCAGCGAUGCGUUGAGCUAACCGGUACUAAUGAACCGUGAGGCUUAACCUU